rfam:Eutrema salsugineum unplaced genomic scaffold scaffold_8, whole genome shotgun sequence.
AUGACACUUUGCUAUAAAAUAGAACGUGGCUAAGAUUUACUGUAGUAUCUGUUCUUAUCAGUGUAAUAUCUGAUAUGUGGGCCAUCGGCUCACUCGUUAUUAACUCAAUUUUUGAAGGGAGCAAGCCCAUUAAAAAUACUUUGCUAUCUGGGCUUUCUGAGUUGCCCAUGUGUUGCACUACUGCAUGGACCUGGCUCAUCCCAU